GACGUAGGGUGCAAGCGUUAUCCGGAUUUACUGGGCGUAAAGCGUUUCGUAGGCGGAUGGAUAAGUCGAUAGUGAAAGACUCCAGCUCAACUGGAGGAACGCUGUCGAUACUAUUUACCUUGAGUAUCACAGGGGAGGCUGGAACUGUCAGUGUAGCAGUGAAAUGCGUUGAUAUUGACAGGAACACCAAGGGCGAAGGCAGGCCUCUGGGUGAUAACUGACGCUGAGGAACGACAGCUAGGGGAGCGAAAGGG
rnacentral:misc_RNA from 1 species